AAGGAAUGUUCAGCUUCUUUCUCUAAAAAAGCGUUGCCUGCAACACUAACAUAUCAAGAAUGGGCUAGAUUUCAUUUAGAAUUGAUUUAUUCAAGAGUUAAAAUAAUGUCCAAUUUCAGUCAAAUGUCUGCAACCCUUAAGAAAGAACCAGAAGGUUUUGAUGAUGAAAGCAAGCAAACAUUACCAGAAUGUGCC